rnacentral:sRNA from 1 species
GCUGGGUGUGGUGGCACACGCCUGUAAUCCCAGUGGCUUGGGAGGCUGAGACAGGAGGAUCGAAGAUUCAAAGCCAGCCUCAGCAAAGGUGAGGCACUAAGCAACUUAGUGAGACCCUGUCUCUA